rnacentral:lncRNA from 1 species
UUACACCUUCGACGGCCGAAAGCCAAUGUUCGACGGCCGAACAUACAGGACUUUCGUCUCUGUCCCUUGCUUUCGGAGGCCGAAGGUUGCACUUUAGGCUGCAAGAUGAAAACACACUUUCGGCGGCCGAAAGUCAAUGUUCGGCGGCCGAACAUGUGAGACUUUCGUCUCUGUCCCUGACUUUCGGAAGCCGAAAGUUGGCUUUAGGGGGCAAAAAAUAUUUCAUUAAAUUCUUUGAAAA